rnacentral:rRNA from 1 species
GACGAACGCUGGCGGCGUGCCUAAUACAUGCAAGUCGAGCGGUGAAGAUCGGUGCUUGCACCGAGCUGGAGAGGCGAGAGCGGGAGAGUAACGCGUGUAACAUCUGCCUUUGAGCGGGAGAAAACCUGGGAAAAGGGGUGAAAAUACCGCAGGACAACUUGCAGCAUAAGGGGGAAGGGUGAAAGAUGCAAGUGCGUCACGUAAGGAUGGUCUAGCGGUUUGUUAGCUUGGUGGUGGGGUAAUGGCUCACCACGGCUGUGACGGGUAGCCGGCCUGAGAGGGCGACCGGCCACAUUGGGACUGAGAUACGGCCCAGACUCCUACGGGAGGCAGCAGUGGGGAAUAUUGCACAAUGGGCGGAAGCCUGAUGCAGCAACGCCGCGUGCGUGAUGACGGCCUUCGGGUUGUAAACCGCUUUCGCCUGUGACGAAGCGUGAGUGACGGUAAUGGGUAAAGAAGCACCGGCUAACUACGUG